GCACUGCCUAAGAGUCCCAUACUAGGACGAAACGGCCGUCCAGUGC
rfam:Schistosoma mansoni strain Puerto Rico chromosome W, complete genome